UAGGGAAUCUUCGGCAAUGGGGGCAACCCUGACCGAGCAACGCCGCGUGAGUGAAGAAGGUUUUCGGAUCGUAAAGCUCUGUUGUAAGAGAAGAACGUGUGUGAGAGUGGAAAGUUCACACAGUGACGGUAACUAACCAGAAAGGGACGGCUAACUACGUGCUAG
rnacentral:rRNA from 1 species